rnacentral:lncRNA from 1 species
UGGACAAUAUUAUAGACUUGCAGCAUACCAUGAAAAAAAUAUCCUAAGGGUAAAAGAAUCAUGAACAAAAACAAGCUUUAAUAAAUUACAGACUUGUCUUCCAUUUCACUCAUGCGCAGUGCUUUUCUCAUCUCUAUGACAACAUGAUAACUAACCUUCAUCAAAUCCUUUCUCUCAUCAUCCAAAAACGGUUUCUACAAUUAAUACAUGUU